rnacentral:rRNA from 1 species
UACAGAGGUCUCAAGCGUUGUUCGGAUUCAUUGGGCGUAAAGGGCUCGUAGGCGGCCAACUAAGUCGGACGUGAAAUCCCCAGGCUCAACCUGGGAACUGCGUCUGAUACUGGAUGGCUUGAAUCCGGGAGAGGGAUGCAGAAUUCCAGGUGUAGCGGUGAAAUGCGUAGAUAUCAGGAGGAACACCGGUGGCGAAGGCGGCAUCCUGGACCAACACUGACGCUGAGUGAGCGAAAGCCAGGGGAGCAAACGGG